rnacentral:rRNA from 1 species
UAGGGAAUCUUCCGCAAUGGACGCAAGUCUGACGGAGCAACGCCGCGUGAGUGAAGAAGGAUUUCGGUUCGUAAAACUCUGUUGUUAGAGAAGAACAGCGCAUAGAGUAACUGUUAUGCGUGUGACGGUAUCUAACCAGAAAGCCACGGCUAACUACGUGCCAGCAGCCGCGGUAAUACGUAGGUGGCAAGCGUUGUCCGGAUUUAUUGGGCGUAAAGCGAGCGCAGGCGGUCAAUUAAGUCUGAUGUGAAAGCCCCCGGCUCAACCGGGGAGGGUCAUUGGAAACUGGUUGACUUGAGUGCAGAAGAGGAGAGUGGAAUUCCAUGUGUAGCGGUGAAAUGCGUAGAUAUAUGGAGGAACACCAGUGGCGAAGGCGACUCUCUGGUCUGUAAAUGACGCUGAGGUUCGAAAGCGUGGGUAGCAAACAGG